rnacentral:rRNA from 1 species
GACGAACGCUGGCGGCGUGCCUAAUACAUGCAAGUAGAACGCUGAAGAGAGGAGCUUGCUCUUCUUGGAUGAGUUGCGAACGGGUGAGUAACGCGUAGGUAUCCUGCCUGGUAGCGGGGGAUAACUAUUGGAAACGAUAGCUAAUACCGCAUGAAAUUGCUUAUCGCAUGAUAAUUAAUUGAAAGAUGCGAUUGCAUCACUACCAGAUGGACCUGCGUUGUAUUAGCUAGUUGGUGAGGUAACGGCUCACCAAGGCGACGAUACAUAGCCGACCUGAGAGGGUGAUCGGCCACACUGGGACUGAGACACGGCCCAGACUCCUACGGGAGGCAGCAGUAGGGAAUCUUCGGCAAUGGGGGGAACCCUGACCGAGCAACGCCGCGUGAGUGAAGAAGGUUUUCGGAUCGUAAAGCUCUGUUGUAAGAGAAGAACGGGUGUGAGAGUGGAAAGUUCACACUGUGACGGUAUCUUACCAGAAAGGACGGCUAUAC